rnacentral:rRNA from 1 species
CACGUAGGGCGCAAGCGUUGUCCGGAAUUAUUGGGCGUAAAGCGCGCGCAGGCGGUCCUUUAAGUCUGAUGUGAAAGCCCACGGCUCAACCGUGGAGGGUCAUUGGAAACUGGGGGACUUGAGUGCAGAAGAGGAAAGUGGAAUUCCAAGUGUAGCGGUGAAAUGCGUAGAGAUUUGGAGGAACACCAGUGGCGAAGGCGACUUUCUGGUCUGUAACUGACGCUGAGGCGCGAAAGCGUGGGGAGCAAACAGG